rnacentral:rRNA from 1 species
AACGAACGCUGGCGGCGUGGAUAAGACAUGCAAGUCGAACGAGGUUACUCUUGGUAGCAAUACCGAGAGUGACUUAGUGGCGAACGGGUGCGUAACACGUGGGCAAUCUGCCUUAAAGUGGGGGAUAGCUCGGCGAAAGCCGAAUUAAUACCGCAUGUGAUCAGCCAAGACAUCUUGGCGACAUCAAAGCCGGGGCAACCUGGCGCUUUUUGAGGAGCCCGCGGCCUAUCAGCUAGUUGGUGAGGUAACGGCCCACCAAGGCUUUGACGGGUAGCUGGUCUGAGAGGACGACCAGUCACACUGGAACUGAGACACGGUCCAGACACCUACGGGUGGCAGCAGUCGAGUAAUUUUUCUCAAUGGGGCAACCCUGAAGGAGCGACGCCGCGUGGAGGA